rnacentral:tRNA from 1 species
UCACUAUAGCUCAUUAGGUAGAGCAGUUGACUCAUAAUCAAUUGGUAGCCAGUUCGAUUCUGGCUAGUGAACCU